UACGUAGGCAGCGAGCGUUGUUCGGAAUUACUGGGCGUAAAGAGUGUGUAGGCGGUGCUCUAAGUUCGGUGUGAAAUCUCCCGGCUUAACUGGGAGGGUGCGCCGGAAACUGGAGUGCUCGAGCGUGGGAGAGGAAAGCGGAAUUCCUGGUGUAGCGGUGAAAUGCGUAGAUAUCAGGAGGAACACCUGCGGUGUAGACGGCUUUCCGGACCAUUGCUGACGCUGAGACACGAAAGCGUGGGUAGCAAACAGG
rnacentral:rRNA from 1 species